GACAGAGGGUGCAAACGUUGUUCGGAAUUAAUGGGCGUAAAGCGCGUGUAGGCUGCUCUGCAAGUCGGAUGUGAAAGCCCUGGGCUCAACCUAGGAAGUGCAUUCGAAACUGCAGGGCUUGAGUCCUGGAGAGGAAGGCGGAAUUCUCGGUGUAGAGGUGAAAUUCGUAGAUAUCGAGAGGAACACCGGUGGCGAAGGCGGCCUUCUGGACGGUGACUGACGCUGAGACGCGAAAGCGUGGGGAGCAAAC
rnacentral:rRNA from 1 species